UCUUCAUCUACUCCUUUAUUGAUUAAUGGCCUGAUGGAAUGAAUUUACAGCCCAACAAAAACUGAAAUACCAAGUAAGUACCUACGAAAAAUUUAAUAUUUAUUUACAAGAAGGUACCAAAUGUGCUAAACAGUGGUACAAAUUUUAACAAAAAAUUGAAAAUUAUUAUUUUUUUAUUUUAAAUUAAUAAUGACAAAUUUAAAGCAGUUGAGCAAGAUUUUAGCAAAAAUUUGAUGUUUUGAAUUUUUUAAAUUUUUACUCAAUUUGUCCUACUGUAGUAAACAGUGUAAAUAUUGGACUGGGAAGAGAGUCUACAUCCGAAGAAAUAACAUCGAAAGUAAACGCUAAAAAUAACAAGAAAAAAAAGGUUCAUUCCACCAGCCAACAGCCAGUAGCCAACGAGUCAGCUUGCUAAAGGACACAAAAGGAUAACACAACACCAAGUAAUGGAAUAAAUUCAUUUGCAGGCUCUUUUCAAAAGUUGUGUGAGAGACUUUACCUGGGUUUGGUCUGAGGAUGGAAUUUCGCAGCACAAUAUUGCUUAUCCCAACACCAACAAACACCCUCAGAAGCAAGUAAACCAGAACCAAAAAAAAAAAAAAAAACAAAAAAAAUAUAUACAAAGUCCAAAUGCCAUUAAGACUUUAGGGAUGCCAAAGACAAGGCAACAUCUUGGCGUUGGGCUUAACUGUUUAUAUUUUUCUCUGACGGUACCUACAUUUUGUAUAUGCCAACUCCUAUACCUUAUUGGACCGCGUGUCGCGUCAAAGAAUUCGAAAAACAGAGAGAGAGAGAGCGACAAAAGUUGUUAAAAUGAGAAAGAAGAACCAUUUUUUUUGGAACCAAGGCGAGCGAGCUCUCCAUAAAUUAUUAAGAGAUUUGCCAAAGAUUUACCCAAUUUAUAGACAAGAGGCACAGGGGGAUGCUUUAUUGCUUGGGCAAUUCUUCUUUUACACGUCCAUUAUGCUUGACGCAGUCAUUCCUUAAAUAGCCCCAAUGAAUAUCCCCUUAAGGCGACCAACCGACACACAGCGAGAGGGACCAGAGGGACUUGGCGGAUCUUCCUAUCUGGAAUAUAAUUGAUAAAUCACUUUGCAUUAUCCACUUUAAAGGUUAA